rnacentral:misc_RNA from 1 species
GCAUAUGCCGGACAAAUCCCGUAUUUAAGGGAAUGUAUUGAUACUGAACCGAUCCAAACUGAUGAUUGUAAAAGCAUUUAUUGUCAAGAUGUGCACAUCCUAACAACCCAAUCCAUCCGUCCUUGGUGUCAGCUUCAAGCUGAAAUCCUACAUCCGCAGGUGGCUUCAGUUAUGUCAGCCGAUCAGAGGCAGUGUAGGAUGGACCUGUAACGAAGGGGGUUCUUGUACUUUUCUCCAUUAGCAGCGCAUGACUUCUGGCCUUGUUGGAAAAGUAGGCUUUCAUCUUCCAUUUUGCAGAUGGCUGAUCAGUUAGAGGACAUUUUCUGAGCUGAAUGUUAUGUUCUGCAUGUUCAGCUCAGUUUAGGGAUUUACCAGUUUAUUUUAGUAAGAGGCCAGG